rnacentral:rRNA from 1 species
AUUGAACGCUGGCGGCAGGCCUAACACAUGCAAGUCGAGCGGAGCGGCGGACGGGUGAGUCAUGCCUAGGAAUCUGCCUGGUAGUGGGGGAUAACGUCCGGAAACGGGCUCUCAUACCGCAUACUAUCAGAUGAGCCUAGGUCGGAUUAGCUAGUUGGUGGGGUACAGGCCUACCGAGUCGACGCUCCCUAGCUGGUCUGAGAGGAUGACCAGCCAGACUGGAACUGAGAAACGGUGCAGACUCCUACGGGAGGCAGCAGUGGGGAAUAUUGCACAAUGGGAGCAAGCCUGAUGCAGCCAGGCCGAGGGUAUGAAGAAGGCCUUGGGGUUGUAAAGUACUUUCAGCGGGGAGGCGUGACCCGCAGAAGAAGCACCGGCUAACUCCGUGCCAGCAGCCGCGGUAAUAC